AACAUGGGGCUUGAGCAUGUUGCCAAGGUGGGAGCUAAUACUUGAAUUGGAAUGCCACUGGCAUCCUGGUGCAUGGCUUCAAAGAAAUGCCUUUACCUAAGAUUUUGUUUUUGUAUUGAAAUCAAGCUUGAAGGCAUCAUCUCUGUUCCUAACUGAUGUCACUUAGCUAUGUUUUAUUCAUGCAGACCCCUGCAGUACAGUUAGGAUCCUGUAUUUGUCUAGGCAUGUAGUCAGCUUGAACUAACUUGUUUAACUCCCAGGGAAAUGUUCCAUUUGCACAAAGUGGCACCUGCCUUACUUGUGAAUAAAUACAACCAUGUAGGACCUCUGUCCAGGUGGUCAUUGGCAACAAGCUAAUCCUGUACUUCUGUGGAAAUAUGUUGCACACAAAAUGGAGGCUUGUGCUCACUGCAAGAAAUAAAAGAUUGAAGCUUCUGAGUAGUUCACAUAAGACGGUGUUGUCAAACAUGUUGAAAAGAAGUAGUGUACAGGACUGAGUGUGUCAUUGUUGAUAUCCUGAAAAGGCUAUUAUAAGAGAACAGAGGCAAGUCUGUUUUUUAUAUCUUGGAUGAAUUUUUCCAAGAUAGAUAUUUGAAGAUUGUUCAAAGUAAUUUCUGUUCUCUGUCUGAAAGGUCUUUCAGAUUGAGGCAGGAUGCAGUCCUGCAGUGUGAGCAGGUCAGAAAGGCUUGACAGUGAACCUGUGGCACAGCAGCACUUUGUGGUAACUUAGGUCCCUUGGCUUACAGGGGAGGAUAGCAAGGCUGGCAUACGUGCUAGUGAAUUUAGAGGCUCUGAAGUUGGAAAAGCAGCUUGUCCGAGGAAUUAAAAGAGUCUGGGCACCUUCAUGUUUAGGUAGUGUUGGGCCAUUUGUAGGAUUUGGUUGCUAGGAAGCAUUUUUCCAUGCUGUAAGUCACAUGUUGCUGUGUUACUGCACCUAAUGAAAUGUCAUGUAUUGCAUGUAUAGCUGCAUGCAUUAAUCUUACCCAUUUAAUCCUCAGAUUCUGUUAAAGUAUCGUUGAGUCCAAAAUGUCCACCUUGUGGAAACAAAACAUGCAGAACAUCACAGCAGUGUAUCUAAAUUUAAUGAAAACAUCAGUGAUUUUGAGGAGCCAAUGAAUUCCAACGGUAAGGCAGAAAGGGAAGAACAGUUAGCGAACUAGACACGAAAACUAAGUUGGCACCUUCCUUUUCUACUGCAUACUAAUACCAGUCAGAUAUAACUGUAGAUAUCCCUUUAUUUUUUAUUGAGAAUUAUUUAUUUUAAUGCAACGCAGAAAGAGCAAGUCAUAUAUAGUCCAGGUCCAUUCUUGCUGUACAUGGAAAUAGUUUUCUUAAAGCCUGGUUAUGUGUGAAAAAGAACUGAACAAAUUUCACAUUAGUCUCUGAAUGUAUGUUAUGUAUCAGUUCUUUGAAUUUGCUCUUUUGUUUACAUGGUAUAUUCCUGUGUUGUCCUAAAUCUCAUGGAGAGGGUAUUUUAGAGUACAAACAGAUUUUGGAUUACAAAGACUUUAGUGGGUAUAUGUGCAGACACACGACUUUGCAGUAAUUAAUACGUACUUCUAAGUAUGGUUCAGAGGCAGGAGAAACGAUCUUCUGUACCUAAUUUAGAGAAUUUAUUAAGUGCUCGGAUGUAAUGGCCCUAAGGGUUGUAUAAGAAACUACAGGUCUGCUAGGGGCAGAGUUCUUGAAAGUAUUCUUUGAACCUCCUCCCCUGUGUCUGAAUAGAAGUUCAUCCUUAGCAGGAGCAGAGAAGUUGGUGGUGUGUAGUGUUCCUGAGAAUUGCAUCUGUUGAAAACUUCACUCUUCAUGAUGGUUGGAAGCUGAACUUUGAGGAGUUUAAAAUUGCCAGUUUACCACGGAAGUCAGUUCUAUCCAAUGCCUAUGGGCACUGAUGGGAAAUUGUCCCUAAAGUAAAUUAGAGAACAAAGGUAUGUACCGGUU